GACGAACCGAGCGAACGUUGUUCGGAAUCACUGGGCUUAAAGGGCGCGUAGGCGGGUGCUCAAGUCCGGGGUGAAAUCCCACAGCUCAACUGUGGAACUGCCUCGGAUACUGGGUGCCUCGAGGGUGGUAGGGGUAUGCGGAACUAUCGGUGGAGCGGUGAAAUGCGUUGAUAUCGAUAGGAACUCCGGUGGCGAAGGCGGCAUACUGGACCACAUCUGACGCUGAGGCGCGAAAGCCAGGGGAGCGAACGGG
rnacentral:rRNA from 1 species